UACUACUAGCCUCUGCGCUGCGGGAGGUCCGCUACCUACCGCGCGUAAGCCUCGCGUCCUCGAUAUUACUAUACCUUAACGUUCUCCUUCGGCGGGCACGGCCCGCCGUUAGAACCAUAAUACCUACCUUUUGCACGCAGUAAUACCCGUUUAGAAACAAAUAAUUGUUAUAACUUUUAAUAAUAGAUCUCUUGGCUCUGGCAUCGAUAAAGAACGUAGUAAAAUGCGAUAAGUAGUGUGAAUUGCAGAAUUUAGUAAAUUAUCGAAUCUUUAAACGCACAUUGCGCCCCUCGGUAUUCCGUGGGGCAUACCUGUUCGAGCGUUAUCUACACCCUCAAGCCCUGCUUAGUGUUGGGUGCCUGUCCCCGCCCUCGCGCGUGGACUUACCCUAAAUAUAUUGGCGGCGGCCCUUUACCCCUCUCCCGCGUAGCACAUUACGCUUCUUGAGGCGGCGGGACCGCGUCCACGAAGCCC
rnacentral:rRNA from 1 species